rnacentral:rRNA from 1 species
UACGGAGGGUGCAAACGUUGCUCGGAAUCAUUGGGCGUAAAGCGCACGUAGGUGGCUUGUUAAGUCGGGUGUGAAAUCCCUGGGCUCAACCCAGGAAGUGCACUCGAAACUGGCGAGCUUGAGUACUGAAGAGGGUCGCGGAAUUCCCGGUGUAGAGGUGAAAUUCGCAGAUAUCAGGAGGAACACCGAUGGCGAAGGCAGGUCUCUGGGCCACUACUGACGCUGAGAAGCGAAAGCAUGGGGAGCGAACAGG